GAUUGUGGCUCAGUGGUAGAGCGCUUGCCUAGUAUGUGUGAGGUACUAGGUUUGAUUCUUAGCACUGCA
rnacentral:tRNA from 1 species